rnacentral:rRNA from 1 species
AGAACGAACGCUGGCGGCAUGCCUAACACAUGCAAGUCGAACGAAGCCUUCGGGCUUAGUGGCGCACGGGUGCGUAACGCGUGGGAACCUGCCUUUAGGUUCGGAAUAACGCCUCGAAAGGGGUGCUAAUACCGAAUAAUGUCUUCGGACCAAAGAUUUAUCGCCUUUAGAUGGGCCCGCGUUGGAUUAGCUUGUUGGUGGGGUAAAGGCCUACCAAGGCGACGAUCCAUAGCUGGUCUUAGAGGAUGAUCAGCCACACUGGGACUGAGACACGGCCCAGACUCCUACGGGAGGCAGCAGUGGGGAAUAUUGGACAAUGGGCGAAAGCCUGAUCCAGCAAUGCCGCGUGAGUGAUGAAGGCCUUAGGGUUGUAAACCUCUUUCGACCCCGACGAAGCGUAUGUGACGGUAGGGGUAUAAGAAGCACCGGCCAACUACGUGCCAGCAGCCG